rnacentral:tRNA from 1 species
GCUCCAGUGGCGCAAUUGGUUAGUGCAUAGUACUGAUAUGAUGGAAUACAGUCAUGCUGAGGUUGUGAGUUCGAAUCUCACCUGGAGUA